AGUGAACGCUGGCGGUAGGCCUAACACAUGCAAGUCGAACGGCAGCACAGUAAGAGCUUGCUCUUACGGGUGGCGAGUGGCGGACGGGUGAGGAAUACAUCGGAAUCUACUUUUUCGUGGGGGAUAACGUAGGGAAACUUACGCUAAUACCGCAUACGACCUACGGGUGAAAGCAGGGGAUCUUCGGACCUUGCGCGAUUGAAUGAGCCGAUGUCGGAUUAGCUAGUUGGCGGGGUAGAGGCCCACCAAGGCGACGAUCCGUAGCUGGUCUGAGAGGAUGAUCAGCCACACUGGAACUGAGACACGGUCCAGACUCCUACGGGAGGCAGCAGUGGGGAAUAUUGGACAAUGGGCGCAAGCCUGAUCCAGCCAUACCGCGUGGGUGAAGAAGGCCUUCGGGUUGUAAAGCCCUUUUGUUGGGAAAGAAAAGCAGCAGGUUAAUACCCCACUGUUCUGACGGUACCCAAAGAAUAAGCACCGGCUAACUUCGUG
rnacentral:rRNA from 1 species